CACCACCACGGAUCCCUCCAGAGGAGCCUCCAUCCGUCAACCCCGGCCCCACCCCCCAGGCGAUACUUAGAAGUCUCGCUACUCCCCCACCCCCACCCCGGGUUAAAAAUCCGGAUUGAUGUUCUCCCACUGCAGUGUGACGUUUUAGGCAAAUUCCUUAAAUUUUCUGGUCUCAGUUUCCUUUUGUCUGAGCUUGAAAAAAACAAUAAUACACACGUCCCUUGGCUGCAGGGUCGCUGUGAAGAUGCAAGGUGUUGAUGUGUUUAUAAGCACUCUGAAAACUCCAAAUCACCCUUUUUUAGGUGACAGAGAUAGGGGCUGCUGUUCUGAAGACAGACGCUGCUUUCUACGAGGAAGUCCGAGGCCUUGGAAGCUUUACUGAGCCCUUUAGUGGAGUGGGGUCCUCUUCGCCAUAGCUCAGUUCCCCAAGAGCUUCUGCAGGUUCCAGCUGAGGGCUGUGGUGCAGUGGGAGCCGCAGACCACCUGUGGCUGUGGGCCAGCCGGACCACCUUGAGCAGCUGCUGCUCCUUUUAUCGUCUGUAAAGUCGGGCCAGGGACACGCGUAUCACGUGUUGGAAGCACCAGAGAUAGGAAUCACAGCGAAUGCUCUGCCACUCUGCCAAGCACAGGGUCAAAGAUGGCUACGUGGAUGUUCUCAUUUGAGGUUGGUGGGGGAAGCCUGUGGCGUUCGUCACCAGAAGCACUUUUAUUGGAACUGAUAUCUUCCAAGCUUGCUUUUGCUGCUUUAAAGCUCUGUGGACGUCAUGAAUAUGGAUGGACGAAACUCAACAUUCUGGCCAAACGAAGCUAUACAAUAAUGACCAGAGUAAGAGCGAUGAUGACAUCAGUGGUGGCUACCUUUACUGAAGCAUUAUCUUGUGCCAAGCAGAGUUUUACGCACUUCCCAGGUGUUAACUUGUUGAAAUCUCUCACACACCUUAUGAUUUUACAAGCCAAGAAGCUACGAUACAGCGAGGUGAGGUCGUUCACCCGCCGGCCCAGGCUUUUCUUCCGUCUGGGUGUUCUUCCUCAAACCCGUUUUCUAAAGGGCUUCAGUUCCCAGAGAAGCGUUUGUCGGCACCAGGGCGAUGCCAGAGGAAAUUCCCAGGAGCAGAGUCUCGUGAAUGCUUUUAGAUGUAGCGGGCAAAAUAGCAACGCUCUAGAUGGUUCUCUCCUAAUUACAUUGCUCUCGUUGGAAUUUACUUGCGCUUGGGUCAGUGAUCAUUUUUGAUUCUUUUGGAGAAAAAUAGAAUCAGUUCUCAGCUGCCCUGUUUCACCCAUGCGCUGGUCCAGCUUGCAUCCUAUUUAAACCUCCUGGCUUCGCGUGGAGGUGUCCCUUGAGGAAAUGCUUUUGCAUUUAGGAAACACUGGGAGCCCACUGGCCACUUUUCCCAGCAAGGUAUUUGUAGAAGCCGGCCAAAACUCUCUUUCCUGGAAGAAAGAGGAUUUGCCACGUACCGAAAUGAGAAUCCAACGUGCAAACAAUUUAAAAAAUACAUCGAUGCACAAAUCAUGUUGGGGAUGAUUUUAAAAUUAACUCCUUCCCCAUUCCUCAUUUUUAUUAGAAUAACCCUGCGUAAGCUUUCCCUUCGUUAUGGUUACCGUUACCACUUUGGGUUAUAAAAUGCCCUCUGAGGGGAGUCUUAACAACGUCCGAGGAAAGUCACGAAACGCAAUCUGGUGAGAGCCAGCCCGGGGCUGGGAACGGUUGCCCGUGGGAUCCGUCAUGCUUUGAACAAAAUAUUGUUCCUGUGUUUUCUCCUCGCGUUUCUAUUAUACUUUUUGAGCAUGUUGUCAUUGGAAAGCAAGGGAAGCUGUGAAAUAGUUUAAAUACUGUCUGAUGUUCACAGAAAAAUUUGCUGCUUUCAGAUUAUCCUGGAGCAAGGGGAAUCUCUUUUCCUGAGUUUUAGGAUUCUGGGUGUGCCUGGGAACCCGAGCACGGCCACGGGAGCCUAUAAUUAAAAUAAUAAUAAAGGCAGUUGGAAUCUUCCA
rnacentral:lncRNA from 1 species